AAUUGGCGUGAUGAUACACUUACCCAAUAUUUUUUCUGCAUUUUGAAUGAUGAAAAAAACAUGCACUACCAUCUGAUCUCUU
rnacentral:snoRNA from 1 species